GAUUGACCAGAAUGUUGUGUACUGUUAGAAACUGGUAUACACCAGGAAACAGUUAAAGAUAGAACUAAUUAUAGUUUUUGGCAACACUGUUGCAAGCAAAAAUAGAAUAAAAAGUUCUAUCUAGGCGAUCUCGCCUCAGAUCGAUUUGUACCUCCAAGUUAUAAAGUGCGUUUUAUUUAUCGAGCGUCUUCUCUAAGUUUUCCCUCUGCUUGCUUCUGCCGGUGGUUUCAACUUAGUUCACGGUUACAACGGAGUUCGGAUUUAGCGUUGUCCGAACGGAAGUAGAGUAAAAGCUGGAACAAACCGUGAGGUGAAUUCACUAGUUAACGGCAGGAUAUUAUCUGUUCUGUGGACACGGAAACCGGCAAAGGAUCAUCACGUCGAAGGAGGACAUUUCUGACGAAGGUCACGUUCCGGCAAAGGGCUUGGAGCUGAGCAGCAAAGGCCGAGUAUCCCGACUAGAGUUGAACCGAUAAAGGUCGAAGGUUGCGACAAAGUUAAUCGGCGAGGGUCGAAUCGGGUGAGCUUUACAAAAGGAAUCGAUUUUCAUUGGAAACGUUCGGGCGGAGGCCCAUCGAAAUCAAAUUAGAGUGUCAAAGGACCAAACGGAUUACACGAAACCAAACGUUUUAAUUUCGGCUCCUUCAGAGAAGCUGUCGAACAGUAUGGAAGAAGAACAGGAAUUUCUGGGAUUUCCCGAACCCAGCGAAAAAUGUCAGUCUAGGAGAACAGCAAUGAAACGAAGAUAUGAUGAUACCUCAAUGGGUCAAGCAAAUGACUUUCCUAGGCGUUCGAAGAGAAAGAAGCUCAACGAAAAUUGUCAGGCUAAGAGAAUAGCAAUGAGACCAAGAUGUGAUGAGACCUCAAUGGGUCAAUCUAAUAAUUUUCCUAGACGUUCGAAGAGAAAGAAAACGACAAAGGCUGUAAAUGAAUAUUUAUAUUUUUGAAUUAACAAAUUUCUGAAAUGUUACUAUGAAUAGAUUUGCUAUAUGAUU